GACGUAGGAGGCGAGCGUUGUCCGGAUUCAUUGGGCGUAAAGAGCGCGCAGGCGGCUUGGUAAGUCGGAUGUGAAAUCCCGAGGCUCAACCUCGGGUCUGCAUCCGAUACUGCCCGGCUAGAGGUAGGUAGGGGAGAUCGGAAUUCCUGGUGUAGCGGUGAAAUGCGCAGAUAUCAGGAGGAACACCGGUGGCGAAGGCGGCUAUCUGGACGAUGACUGACGCUGAGACGCGAAAGCGUGGGGAGCAAACAGG
rnacentral:rRNA from 1 species